GGUGAACGCUGGCGGCGUGCCUAACACAUGCAAGUCGAGCGGGUACCCGCAAGGGUACCAGCGGCGCACGGGUGAGUAACACGUGGGUAAUCUACCCCUCGGAGGGGGAUAACCGGGGGAAACUCCGGCUAAUACCCCAUACGAUCCAACAACACAAGUUGUUGGAUGAAAGGAGCGUUUGCUCCGCCGAGGGAUGAGCCCGCGGCCCAUCAGGUAGUUGGUGGGGUAAUGGCCCACCAAGCCUACGACGGGUAGCCGGCCUGAGAGGGUGGUCGGCCACAAGGGCACUGAGACACGGGCCCUACUCCUACGGGAGGCAGCAGUGGGGAAUCUUGGACAAUGGGCGAAAGCCUGAUCCAGCGACGCCGCGUGGGGGAUGAAGCCCUUCGGGGUGUAAACCCCUGUUGCGAGGGAGGAAUAAGGCCUGGAGGAAAUGCCAGGCCGAUGACUGUACCUCGCGAGGAAGCCCCGGCUAACUACGUGCCAGCAGCCGCGGUAAUACGUAGGGGGCGAGCGUUACCCGGAUUCACUGGGCGUAAAGCGGGUGUAGGCGGCUCGGUAAGUCGGGUGUGAAAUCCCACAGCUCAACUGUGGAAUUGCGCCCGAAACUGCUGAGCUUGGGGCCGGUAGAGGGAGACGGAACUGCCGGUGUAGGGGUGAAAUCCGUAGAUAUCGGCGGAACGCCGGUGGGGAAGCCGGUCUCUGGGCCCGCGCCCGACCCUGAGACCUGAAGCUAGGGGAGCGAUCCGGAUAUGUCCCCGGGUCUCUCAGCCGAACCGUGCCCAAUAGGUGUGGGGGAUUAUU
rnacentral:rRNA from 1 species